rnacentral:rRNA from 1 species
GAUGAACGCUGGCGGCGUGCCUAAUACAUGCAAGUCGAGCGAACAGACGAGGAGCUUGCUCCUCUGACGUUAGCGGCGGACGGGUGAGUAACACGUGGAUAACCUACCUAUAAGACUGGGAUAACUUCGGGAAACCGGAGCUAAUACCGGAUAAUAUAUUGAACCGCAUGGUUCAAUAGUGAAAGACGGUUUUGCUGUCACUUAUAGAUGGAUCCGCGCCGCAUUAGCUAGUUGGUAAGGUAACGGCUUACCAAGGCGACGAUGCGUAGCCGACCUGAGAGAGUGAUAGGCCACACUAGAGCGUGACCACGGACCAGACUCCUGCGGGACGCAGCAGUAGGGAACCUGACGCAGUAGGCGAAAGCCUGGCGGAGCGACGCCGAGUGAGUGAUGAAGGUCUUCGGAGCGUAAAACUCUGUUAUGAGGGAAAAACAGAUGUGGAAGGAGCUGUGCACGGCGUGACGGUACCUGAUCAGAAAGCAACGGCUAACUACGUG